UACAGCAGCAUCACAUACUUUCCUUUCCUUCAAGAAUUCUUCUAUUUUUUUCCCUCCAUGUAGUUCACAAAUUGCCUGUGGACUCUCUUACCAUCCCCUCUUGACUUCCAGCUUCCAAAUAAUGCUAUAACAUACCUGGGGUAACGCAUCAGAUGGAAAAUAGAUUAAGCAUCAAAGUCUGCAGCAGGUGUUACUAGUGGAGCCACUAGAACAGCUUUGACACAGCACUUUGCCUUUCAAAACAAUGCAGCAAAUAUAACUGCAAAGGAAGGAAGCCAAGAAACUCUUGCUAUAAUGAUUGGGAUGGCUUUAGGAAUGCUUCUUCCACACAUCACAAUUGGCCACCCAUUUGCAAUUUGGAUAUCCUUUUUGUCUCCUACUAUGUUCCAUAUGUAUGGUUAGUUAUGCUUUGCUUUCAAUUUCCUGUUUCCAUGAAUUUUAUGGUGCAAUGCCGAAGCUUUCUUAGUGCAAAAUGUACUAUCUUGUUGUAUCUGGCAGCAAACUAUAUGGCUGUCCGUAGUCUUUCACUGAAUACCCUGAACUUUGAAAGAUGCUCCAUUGUUUUAUCACAAUUGUUCAAGACGCCAAGGUGAGUUGAACAAUUUAAUAUUUUCAGUCAUAGAAUGAAUAACUGAAUCCAUAUCCUAGAAUAUCAUUAGAGUAGGAAUAUUUAUGACACUGUGUUGCGAUGCUAAAAUGCGUUAAAUUUUCUGUUGCUUUUAUCUUUUGCGAUUGAACUAUUAAUUUAGAUCUUUUGUGUGUGCUGAAUGUUUCACACGAGUUUUUGACUAGACAUGCAGAAAAUUAUGUAAAUCUUGAGCUAUAUGACGUAAGGUUGCUAAUAUGGAGGUUUCACACCUUGGUUCAAGUUCUCUCUCCAAAGCAGGUCUCCUCCAUGGAGCAUGUUCUACCUUCACAACUGACCUGAUGGACCCCCAAAUACAGUGACUCUCCAUACAAGCGAGUACAUUUAGGUGUCAGAGUUUCUUCAUUUGGCAGCCUUGCUAUGGUCAACUUCUUACAAAUCUGCUGAAUCAACUCACAAAAAAGUGAAGUAUUUACUUCAACAAGAAAGGGAAAUUAUCAACAUUGUUACUCAUAAGGAUUCAGCUGCAGCUGAUAUAUUGCAAUCAUUCAUCCAUGAGCUUGUCAUGGCAAAACUAGGUGAUCAAGGUGGAUCCAUGUCUUUUGAGAGCCAAUCCUGGAUGGAUAAACACUACGUAGUAUUUGUUCUGAAGGUAUUUUCCUACAUGAAGAGCUUUCGGGGACGAAAUUCAUGAUAUAUUCACUGCUUUUAUAAUUAGAUCAUAGUCAAUUAAUGUUGCUAUUGAGUAGGUUGAUCUUAUCCAUGCUUCUCUUUAAUGUGAGAUUACAGAAUUUUAGCCAAAUUAUACAGAACCAGCUCCUCUGCUUUGGCCUAUCACAGUUGCAGGCCAGUAGUCCUAUUAUUCUGCAUAUAGAAUAGUUUUUGAUGUUUAUGUACUGACCAAUCAACCUUGUAAAAUUGUGUGCAACACAGCACUGCUUGAAAUAUCUCUAUUUUUGGCACAAGAUGAAGACUGCUCCUAUAGGCACGAGGGUUAGGGAGGGUGAAUUGAAGCCCAUGGACGCAGAGCAACAGAGAGAGUAUGGCCACAAGAUGGUGAAUUUCAUUGCUGAUUAUUACAAGAACAAUGAGAACUACUGUUCUCAAUCAAGUUCAGGUUUUCACAACCUAUUAAUUUCGUUUUGUAUUUGUUCCGAAAGUAUUUUGGUGGAGUUUGUGGAGACUUAGCUAGAAAAAAAUUAUUCCAUUAUAUUCUAAAUGAUUUAGUGAAGCUCAAUUUUUUAAUGAAUA